rnacentral:rRNA from 1 species
ACUAAUAUUCCAAAAAAAGCUAAUUAAACCAGUAUUUGGUCCUUUCGUACUAAAAUAU